rnacentral:rRNA from 1 species
CCUACGGGACGCAGCAGUGAGGAAUAUUGGUCAAUGGGCUUACGCCUGAACCAGCCAAGUCGCGUGAGGGAAGACUGCCCUAUGGGUUGUAAACCUCUUUUGUCAGGGAGCAAUUGGCGCUACGUGUAGCGUUAUCGAGAGUACCUGAAGAAAAAGCAUCGGCUAACUCCGUGCCAGCAGCCGCGGUAAUACGGAGGAUGCGAGCGUUAUCCGGAUUUAUUGGGUUUAAAGGGUGCGCAGGCGGGAGAUCAAGUCAGCGGUAAAAUGUCGGGGCUCAACCCCGGCCGGCCGUUGAAACUGGUUUU